AUUGCAGAAUUAAAAGCCAUCUACAAAGCUCUUGAGUUGCUAGUCUCCUUUCCUGAUAUUUGCUUGGGUGUUGAUGUUAUUUUUGCGGAAUCAGAUUCCAGGAAUGCGUUAUCAUGGGUAUCUUGUCCUGACAAUGCUCCUUAGAGAGUUAAUAAUAUUAUCAACUUUAUUACUAAUUACCUUCUCUCUUUGCCUCGGCUCAACUUUUCCCACAUUUUGCAUGAAGCAAACUCCGUAGCUAAUUCGUUGGCCAAGCAACGCAUAUCAAGGUCUAAUGAGUUUUUUGCAUGGCUGUAAGAGAAGAGCUGCCAUUUGAUUUGCUCAGUGCUUCGGCUAAGUUUGUGUUGGUGGUCCUCUUUUGCAGCUUAGCUCUUCAAACAUGCAGAAGAUCUUAUUCUUCUGGCUUGUUUCGGGGCUUAUUUUGAAGGAGUAGCUAUUAGCUGUUAUGUUUUCUAUUUUGUUUAUCUUUCUUUGGUUAGGGCUUGAUCUUGCAUUUUUCUCUAGUUGUUGGUCUAUUUAGCUUUGUUUUGUGAUGUACCGUGUCUUCUUCGGAUUUUUUUU
rnacentral:misc_RNA from 1 species